CAAGCGGAUCUCUUAAAGCUGUUCUCAGUCGGACUGCAGUCUGCAACUCGACUGCACGAAGCUGGAAUCGCUAGUAAUCGCGGAUCAGCACGCCGCGGUGAAUACGUUCCCGGGCCUUGUACACACCGCCCGUCACACCAUGGAAGUCUGCAAUGCCCGAAGCCGGUGGCCUAACCACUUAUGUGGAAGGAGCCGUCUAAGGCAGGGCAGAUGACUGGGGUGAAGUCGUAACAAGGUAGC
rnacentral:rRNA from 1 species